rnacentral:rRNA from 1 species
UACGUAGGUGGCAAGCGUUGUUCGGAAUUAUUGGGCGUAAAGGGCGCGUAGGCGGUUUGUUAAGUCGGUCGUGAAAGCCCGGGGCUCAACCCCGGAGGGUCGACCGAUACUGGCAGACUAGAGUACAGAAGAGGUAACUGGAAUUCCCGGUGUAGCGGUGAAAUGCGUAGAUAUCGGGAGAAACACCAGAGGCGAAGGCGGCUUCCUGGACCGACACUGACGCUGAGGCGCGAAAGCUAGGGGAGCAAACGGG